ACCUGAUUUUUCGAGAGGUGGUGCAUGGCCGUCGUCAGUUCGUACCGUAAGGCGUUCUGUUAAGUCAGAUAACGAACGAGACCCUCGUCCUUAAUUGCCAACCCAUUCUCCGGGAGUGGGCGCACAUUAAGGGGACCGCUGGCGCUAAGUCAGAGGAAGGAGAGGUCAACGGUAGGUCAGUAUGCCCCGAAUCUCCCGGGCCACACGCGCGCUACAAAGGACAGGACAAUGGGAUGCAAUACCGAGAGGUAACGCCAACCCGAAACCUGUUCGUAGUUCGGACUGAGGGCUGUAACUCGCCCUCACGAAGCUGGAUUCCGUAGUAAUCGCGGGUCAACAUCCCGCGGUGAAUAUGCCCCUGCUCUUU
rnacentral:rRNA from 1 species